rnacentral:lncRNA from 1 species
GUGUGGUGAUACUAAUAUAAAUAUAUGGGUGCUCAUUAGAUAAUGAGUUCACUGAAUAGACCUAUGAGAGAAUAUCUGAUAGAGUCUUAUUUACAUAUCAGCUGAUUGUUCUCUAAUGAAAGUUGUGUAAGUGAUUCUUUGACCUGAGAUCACCAUAAUACUUGGUGAUCGUGAAUCUAUAUUAUGGUUCACUUCCUAAUUUGAUUUUUUGAUCUUUAUAUGAGAUAUUUUGGAUGUGGUGAAGUAUGCAUAUAGGUUAUGAGUGAUCAAUAAGGGAUCAGUCACUCUUAAUA